rnacentral:tRNA from 1 species
GCCCUAGUAGCUUAGCC